GGCCACAUUAGGUUUAAACACCGGUUUCCGUACGAUCAUCGAAGUUAAGCAACGUCAAACGUGGUCAGUAGCUAGAUCGGUGACCGCUUGAGAAUGCUAGGUGCUGAAA